AUUGAACGCUGGCGGCAUGCCUUACACAUGCAAGUCGAACGGCAGCGGGGACUUCGGUCCGCCGGCGAGUGGCGAACGGGUGAGUAAAGUAUCGGAACGUACCUUUCAGUGGGGGAUAACGUAGCGAAAGUUACGCUAAUACCGCAUAUUCUGUGAGCAGGAAAGCAGGGGAUCGCAAGACCUUGCGCUGAUUGAGCGGCCGAUAUCAGAUUAGCUAGUUGGUGAGGUAAAGGCUCACCAAGGCGACGAUCUGUAGCGGGUCUGAGAGGAUGAUCCGCCACACUGGAACUGAGACACGGUCCAGACUCCUACGGGAGGCAGCAGUGGGGAAUUUUGGACAAUGGGGGCAACCCUGAUCCAGCCAUGCCGCGUGAGUGAAGAAGGCCUCGGUGUAAG
rnacentral:rRNA from 1 species